rnacentral:rRNA from 1 species
GACGAACGCUGGCGGCGUGCUUAACACAUGCAAGUCGUACGGUAAGGCCCUUUCGGGGGUACACGAGUGGCGCACGGGUGCGUAACACGUGAGUAACCUGCCCACAACUUUGGGAUAACGCUAGGAAACUGGUGCUAAUACUGGAUAUGUGCUCCUGCUGCAUGGUGGGGGUUGGAAAGCUCCGGCGGUUGUGGAUGGACUCGCGGCCUAUCAGCUUGUUGGUGGGGUAGUGGCCUACCAAGGCGGCGACGGGUAGCCGGCCUGAGAGGGUGACCGGCCACAGUGGGACUGAGAUACGGCCCAGACUCCUACGGGAGGCAGCAGUGGGGAAUAUUGCACAAUGGGCGCAAGCCUGAUGCAGCAACGCCGCGGGCGGGAUGACGGCCUUCGGGUUGUAAACCGCUUUCAGCAGGGACGAAGCUUUUUGUGACGGUACCUGCAGAAGAAGCACCGGCUAACUACGUG